rnacentral:rRNA from 1 species
UACGGAGGGUGCAAGCGUUAUCCGGAUUCACUGGGUUUAAAGGGUGCGUAGGCGGGUGUGUAAGUCCGGGGUGAAAUCUCCGAGCUUAACUCGGAAACUGCCAUGGGUACUGCAUGUCUUGAAUGUUGUGGAGGUGAGCGGAAUAUGUCAUGUAGCGGUGAAAUGCUUAGAUAUGACAUAGAACACCAAUUGCGAAGGCAGCUCACUACACAAAUAUUGACGCUGAGGCACGAAAGCGUGGGGAUCAAACAGG